AUUAGUUUAGCAUAAUAAAGUGUGGAUUACUGUUAAUAAUCAGGUUGUUUUUUAAAAAAUAAGCUAAUG
rnacentral:tRNA from 1 species